CCCUCUUUGUCAUUACGUGGUAUUGUGUGUAGAUUGAUGAGGAAAAACAUUGAUUUUAUCAAUUUUAGAAUAAGGCUUUGACGUAACAAAAUGUGGAAAAAGUCAAGGGGUCUGAAUACUUUCCCAAAUGCAACUGUACAUGCACAAAAAUGUGUGCACCCACUGCUGUAAAUUGCUCUGGAUAAGAGAGUCUGUUAUAUUACUCAAAUGUAAACAUACAGAUUGUGUCAGAAAAAGUUACUUUCAACUUUCCAAUGUUAUUUAGGUAGUCUACGCAAAUGAGUAUGGAAGCUGAUCAAUGUAUACAUGUGUUGACGUGAUAGCUCAGUUGAAACGAACACAGCUGGUUUCCAAAACGAAGCAGGGUACAUAGUGGUAGUCCCCUGGAAGCUAGACUUGUUCUCACUGAAGUGUAGUACCCCUCGUAUACCAGUAGGAGUCACUGUUCAGGCAAGAAUUGUUGGACUGUGGCUUCACUUUUUAUUUCAAUAUACCGCUUUAUUUAGGUUGAUGGCAUUGCAUUAAAACAAUGAUGUUGAUUCAAAUAUACCAUUUAACUAUCAACAUUGAAACCAGGUCAAAUAUGUCUAAUCAAAUAUGAAAUUAAACAAUUUCAACCACCCAAUAUAUAGUCUAUAGGAUAACAAAUGUUUUACAUAUCUACGUGCAAUUUUUUACGCUAAUUCUAAAUAUAAAGUGAUGAUGAUUAUUAGAUUAAGGAAACAACCUGUUAGUCAGGUUAAGUCAUAGUAUUUAAAUUACCCUAAUUUCAAUGGUUGAAAUGAGAUGAAAACAGUACUAGUUGGGGACAUAUUCCAAAUCCAAAAUGUGUUUUCUACGUAGAUUCCACGUCACAAUAUGUUGACAAAUGACAUUGACACAAUGUUGAUUCAACCAGUGUAUGCCCACUGGGGUAACACUUUACUAUAGCACCGACCGGACCGACAUCAAGUACAGCCGCUAAACAGGCUAACAGAUAGCAUGCUAACCAUGUCACUCUCCCAUUGAGAUAUAGCUGCUCCACAGGCUAACGGCUAGCAUGCUAACCAUGUCACUCUCCCAUUGAGAUAUAGCUGCUCCACAGGCUAACGGCUAGCGUGCUAACCAUGAUACUAUCUCAUUCAGGAUGAGGUGGUCCACAGGCUAAUGGAUAGCAUGCUAACCAUUUCACUAUCCCAUUCAGGAUGAAAACUUAUUCAGCCCUUGGAUGAACAACACUGAACAGAAGAUAGCUCUUCUAUUUCCUCUAUAAAAAUGUAAAAAAUGUCUAACAUCACUGGAUCAAGUCCAUAGUUCGUUUUUCAGCUAAAUGUGUAUAUAUAUAUAUACAAAAAAAUACAUUCCAUGGUGUAAAGGGCAAAAUCACUUGUCCAUACAAUCAGGAUUUUGCUGGUGAUAGCCUCCAUCUUACCUCCCACAAUCUUCUUCUGUGGAUUUUCUAUGAAGGUUGGCAACCAACAUUAAGGUGCAUUACCACCACCAACUGGAAUAGAGUGUGGGCCAGAGACAGAAAUACAUCCUACCAACUCCCGCCGUGGUUAGUGUUGGAGUGUACAGUACAUCUCUACACCUGUGUGAUUGUAGACUGGUAUUAUCACAGUGGGAGAAGAGAGGGCUUGUUGCUGGUGAGGAUAGAAGAAGGAAUAAAGCCCAUGACUCUGAGAGGUUUGGUCUGGUCUUUGGUUUACUGCGUUCCUAUGGCGUCACAGUACAAAGUCAUACUGUAGUAUACACUGAGUGGACAAAACAUUAAGAACACCUGCUAUUUCCAUGACACAGACCGACCAGGUGAAUCCAAGUGAAAGCUAUGAUCCCUUAUUGACGUCACUUCAAUCAGUGUAGGUGAAAGGGAGGAGACAGGUUAAAGAAGGAUUUUUAAGCCUUGAGACAAUUGAGAUGGAUUGUGUAUGUGUGUCUUUGAAAGGGUGACUGGGCAAGACAAAAUAUUUAAGUGCCUUUGAACAGGGUAUGGUAGUAUGUGCCAGGUGCAUCUGUUUGUGUCAAGAACUGCAAAGCUGCUGGGUUUUUCAUGCUCUACAUUUUCCCAUGUGUAUCAAGAAUGGUCCACCAACCAAAGGACAUCCAGCCAAUUUGACACAACUGAGGGAAGCAAUGGAGUCAACAUGGACCAGCAUUCUUGUGGAAUGCUUUCGAUUCCUUGUAGAGCGCAUACACAUAUACUAAUUGAGGCUGGUCUGAAAGGGCAAAAGCUGUGUGGGGGGGGGGACUCAAUAUUUUUAAGGUGUUCUUAAUGUUUUAAUGUCUUAAUGUUCCUAUGGUGUCACAGCACUGAGUACAGAGUCAUACAAUCCUAUGGUGUCACAGCACUGAGUACAGAGUCACAGUGUAGUAUACGAUCCUAUGGUGUCACAGCAGUCAUACUGUAGUAUAGUGUAAUAGUUUAUCCUCAGUUGACAGACAAUAUAGCAUACAGUUGACCUGUAGAGGUUUGUUUCCCCAUGACAACAGUCCUGAUGGAACACAAGGCCAAUGAUUGGAACAGGAGAGGUUUGUUUCUCCAUGACAACAGUCCUGAUGGAACACAAGGCCAUUGAUUGGAACAGGAGAGGCAAUGAAGCGGGGGGGGGAAAAAGAGAGCGUGACCAAUCAGAUACGAGGGGCUGUCUUUGGAACGCGUCGACAAGUCAGUCGUCAUAGAGAUUUGUGUGUGUACAGUUACAGUAUGUGUCAAUGUUUAGGAUAUAUAUUUUUUACAUAUCACAUCCACUGAUUUGGUCCUCUGUAAACAACAACUCCUCCACAUCCUCUUCCUCUCUUCCCUCAGAAGGAGGGGUCUCGCAAUGUGCAGUUCUUCAGAAGGCGGGGUCUCGCACUGUGCAGUUCUUCAGAAGGCGGGAUCUCGCACUGUGCAGUUCUUCAGAAGGCGGAGUCUCGCACCAUCCGGUACAUCUGUAGUGAUGUCACCUCCACCUCCUGUGGUCUGGAGUUCAGAGCGUUCCCUGUGGGGCUGUAUCCUGCCGAGCGGCCCAUGGGGCUGAACCCUGUGGUGCGCCCCAGAGGGGUGAAAGCGGUGGAGCGCGUGAUGGCUGGACGGCGCAGGAAAUGGUUGGACGUCACCAGGUCCCCGUAGCCCUGUGCGUGCGAGAAGGCGUAUCCGGAGCGGCGGGAGCUGGUACGCCGCAUCCUGGCUCGUCGUGCUGGGAGAGGGGGCGUGGCCUUGGCCUGUCUCACCUUGAACAUCACCUGGUAGGGAGGGGAGUAGGACAGGAGAGCAGAAUAAGAUUAGAAAGUUGUGUAGGUCAGUAAUGAUUGCCUUUUUUAAAAUAGAAAGAACAAAGUAAAAAUAAUAAGGAAUACAGGCGAGAGUUUACAUUCAUGAGCUCAAAUGUUUGAUUUGAUUUGAUGAGCUCGCCUUGACUGACAGCUCUUUGAAACGCCUACGUCAAGAAACCUGGAUGCAAUGAGUAGUGUUGCAGUAAAAAAAACAUCAAGCAAAUUGUGGUGAUUAACAAGAGCAACUCAAACAACAUUGAAAUCACAAUGGGGCGGCAGGGUAGCCUAGUGGUUAGAGGGUUGGACUAGCAGCCGAAAGGUUGCAAGUUCAAAUCCCCGAGCUGACAAGGUAAAAAUCUGCCGUUCUGCCCCUGAACAGGCAGUUAACCCACUGUUCCUAGGCCGUCAUUGAAAAUAAGGGUUUGUUCUUAACUGACUUGCCUAGUUAAAUAAAGGUUAAAAAAAUAAAUAAACCAAGUACAGAGCCCUGG
ensembl:lncRNA